rnacentral:rRNA from 1 species
UUAAGCGACUAAGCGUACACGGUGGAUGCCCUGGCAGUCAGAGGCGAUGAAGGACGUGCUAAUCUGCGAUAAGCGUCGGUAAGGUGAUAUGAACCGUUAUAACCGGCGAUUUCCGAAUGGGGAAACCCAGUGUGUUUCGACACACUAUCAUUAACUGAAUCCAUAGGUUAAUGAGGCGAACCGGGGGAACUGAAACAUCUAAGUACCCCGAGGAAAAGAAAUCAACCGAGAUUCCCCCAGUAGCGGCGAGCGAACGGGGAGCAGCCAGAGCCUGAAUCAGUGUGUGUGUUAGUGGAAGCGUCUGGAAAGGCGCGCGAUACAGGGUGACAGCCCCGUACACAAAAAUGCACAUACUGUGAGCUCGAUGAGUAGGGCGGGACACGUGGUAUCCUGUCUGAAUAUGGGGGGACCAUCCUCCAAGGCUAAAUACUCCUGACUGACCGAUAGUGAACCAGUACCGUGAGGGAAAGGCGAAAAGAACCCCGGCGAGGGGAGUGAAAAAGAACCUGAAACCGUGUACGUACAAGCAGUGGGAGCACGCUUCGGCGUGUGACUGCGUACCUUUUGUAUAAUGGGUCAGCGACUUAUAUUCUGUAGCAAGGUUAACCGAAUAGGGGAGCCGAAGGGAAACCGAGUCUUAACUGGGCGUUAAGUUGCAGGGUAUAGACCCGAAACCCGGUGAUCUAGCCAUGGGCAGGUUGAAGGUUGGGUAACACUAACUGGAGGACCGAACCGACUAAUGUUGAAAAAUUAGCGGAUGACUUGUGGCUGGGGGUGAAAGGCCAAUCAAACCGGGAGAUAGCUGGUUCUCCCCGAAAGCUAUUUAGGUAGCGCCUCGUGAAUUCAUCUCCGGGGGUAGAGCACUGUUUCGGCAAGGGGGUCAUCCCGACUUACCAACCCGAUGCAAACUGCGAAUACCGGAGAAUGUUAUCACGGGAGACACACGGCGGGUGCUAACGUCCGUCGUGAAGAGGGAAACAACCCAGACCGCCAGCUAAGGUCCCAAAGUCAUGGUUAAGUGGGAAACGAUGUGGGAAGGCCCAGACAGCCAGGAUGUUGGCUUAGAAGCAGCCAUCAUUUAAAGAAAGCGUAAUAGCUCACUGGUCGAGUCGGCCUGCGCGGAAGAUGUAACGGGGCUAAACCAUGCACCGAAGCUGCGGCAGCGACGCUUAUGCGUUGUUGGGUAGGGGAGCGUUCUGUAAGCCUGUGAAGGUGUACUGUGAGGUAUGCUGGAGGUAUCAGAAGUGCGAAUGCUGACAUAAGUAACGAUAAAGCGGGUGAAAAGCCCGCUCGCCGGAAGACCAAGGGUUCCUGUCCAACGUUAAUCGGGGCAGGGUGAGUCGACCCCUAAGGCGAGGCCGAAAGGCGUAGUCGAUGGGAAACAGGUUAAUAUUCCUGUACUUGGUGUUACUGCGAAGGGGGGACGGAGAAGGCUAUGUUGGCCGGGCGACGGUUGUCCCGGUUUAAGCGUGUAGGCUGGUUUUCCAGGCAAAUCCGGAAAAUCAAGGCUGAGGCGUGAUGACGAGGCACUACGGUGCUGAAGCAACAAAUGCCCUGCUUCCAGGAAAAGCCUCUAAGCAUCAGGUAACAUCAAAUCGUACCCCAAACCGACACAGGUGGUCAGGUAGAGAAUACCAAGGCGCUUGAGAGAACUCGGGUGAAGGAACUAGGCAAAAUGGUGCCGUAACUUCGGGAGAAGGCACGCUGAUAUGUAGGUGAAGUCCCUCGCGGAUGGAGCUGAAAUCAGUCGAAGAUACCAGCUGGCUGCAACUGUUUAUUAAAAAACACAGCACUGUGCAAACACGAAAGUGGACGUAUACGGUGUGACGCCUGCCCGGUGCCGGAAGGUUAAUUGAUGGGGUUAGCGGUAACGCGAAGCUCUUGAUCGAAGCCCCGGUAAACGGCGGCCGUAACUAUAACGGUCCUAAGGUAGCGAAAUUCCUUGUCGGGUAAGUUCCGACCUGCACGAAUGGCGUAAUGAUGGCCAGGCUGUCUCCACCCGAGACUCAGUGAAAUUGAACUCGCUGUGAAGAUGCAGUGUACCCGCGGCAAGACGGAAAGACCCGUGAACCUUUACUAUAGCUUGACACUGAACAUUGAGCCUUGAUGUGUAGGAUAGGUGGGAGGCUUUGAAGUGUGGACGCCAGUCUGCAUGGAGCCGACCUUGAAAUACCACCCUUUAAUGUUUGAUGUUCUAACGUUGGCCCCUGAUCGGGGUUGCGGACAGUGUCUGGUGGGUAGUUUGACUGGGGCGGUCUCCUCCUAAAGAGUAACGGAGGAGCACGAAGGUUGGCUAAUCCUGGUCGGACAUCAGGAGGUUAGUGCAAUGGCAUAAGCCAGCUUGACUGCGAGCGUGACGGCGCGAGCAGGUGCGAAAGCAGGUCAUAGUGAUCCGGUGGUUCUGAAUGGAAGGGCCAUCGCUCAACGGAUAAAAGGUACUCCGGGGAUAACAGGCUGAUACCGCCCAAGAGUUCAUAUCGACGGCGGUGUUUGGCACCUCGAUGUCGGCUCAUCACAUCCUGGGGCUGAAGUAGGUCCCAAGGGUAUGGCUGUUCGCCAUUUAAAGUGGUACGCGAGCUGGGUUAGAACGUCGUGAGACAGUUCGGUCCCUAUCUGCCGUGGGCGCUGGAGAAACUGAGGGGGGCUGCUCCUAGUACGAGAGGACCGGAGUGGACGCAUCACUGGUGUUCGGGUUGUCAUGCCAAUGGCACUGCCCGGUAGCUAAAUGCGGAAGAGAUAAGUGCUGAAAGCAUCUAAGCACGAAACUUGCCCCCGAGAUGAGUUCUCCCUGACUCCUUGAGAGUCCUGAAGGAACGUUGAAGACGACGACGUUGAUAGGCCGGGUGUGUAAGCGCAGCGAUGCGUUGAGCUAACCGGUACUAAUGAACCGUGAGGCUUAACCUU